CUCAAAGGAUGUCCAAAUACUUUUAUAUGUUAUACAUGAUUUAACUUAACGAGGAAAUAACAUAGUUUUCAUUCCACUUGACGUAUACGUUAAUCUAAAAUUUAGAUUAUAGAUGAGUGGAAACUAUUGAACCUUUAUAAAUAGCGUUUAUCACAAUAUUACGAGAAAACACAUGUAUUGGGAUUAUCCGAAAUGUGGUUAAUAGCUAACAGUCUGAAUCAUAGUUUGACAAGAACCACAAACAUUACAAAAUCGUUGUUCGGGGAAAUUAAUAAG